rnacentral:rRNA from 1 species
UACGUAGGGGCCUAGCGUUGUCCGGAAUUAUUGGGCGUAAAGAGCUCGUAGGCGGUUCGGCAAGUCGGAUGUGAAAUCUCCACGCUUAACGUGGAGGGGCCAUUCGAAACUGCUGUGACUCGAGUCCGGUAGGGGAGUGUGGAAUUCCCGGUGUAGCGGUGAAAUGCGCAGAUAUCAGGAGGAACACCGAUGGCGAAGGCAGUGUUCUGGGCCAGUACUGACGCUGAGGAGCGAAAGCGUGGGUAGCAAACAGG